UCGCUCUUGUUGCCCAGGCUGGAGUGCAAUGGUGAGAUCUCUGCUCACUGCAACCUCCACCUCCCAGGUUCAAGGGAUUCUUGUGCCUCAGCCUCCUGAGUAGCUGAGAUUACAGGCACCCACCACCACGUCCGGCUAAGUUGUUGUUUUUUGUUUUUGUUCUUGUUUUUUUGAGAGAUGGAGUCUUGAUCUGUCACCCAGGCUGGAGUGGAGUGGCGGUAUCUCGGCUCACUGCAACCUCCACCUCCCGGGUUUGAGCGAUUCUCCUGCCUCAGCUUCCCAAGUAGCUGGGACCACAGACGUUUGCCACCACUCCCAGUUAAUUUUUGUAUUUUUUUAGUAGAGUUGGGGUUUCACUAUAUGUUGGCCAGCCUGGUCUCAAACUCCUGACCUCAGGUGAUCUGCCCACCUCGGCCUCCCAAAGUGUUGGGAUUAUAGGCGUGAGCCACCGUGCCUGGCCAAUUUUUUGUAUUUUUUUGUAGAGACGGGGUUUCACCAUGUUGGCCAGGCUGGUCUUGAAUUCCUGGCCUCAGGUUAUCCGCCUGCCUGAGCCUCCCAAAGUGCUGGAUUACAGGCAUGACCCACCAAACCCAGCCCAAAUAUAUUUGCAUAUAUAUAUAUUUUAAUAUCCCACGCCUACACUCUGGGAUAACUCAGCUCUUACAGGCAGUAAUCAUGGGUCAGACCUGCCAUUAUCCAGUUCAGCCCAUUUCAUUUGACAGACACCUGGUGAAUAGAGACAUGCAGGGACUCUUGUCCACAUUUGCCCAGUUGGCUGAUAGCACAGUGUACAAAGUCUGUCUGCAGCAGGUCAUAAUUUCACAGCUCUGCCACAUGCAUGUAUAUCACUGUACCAAGCGUGUUCACAUGGUAUGGUGCUGACACAUGUUGACGGAAUGUGGUACAGACCCUCUGUGUGAAGUGUGUUCACACAGUGCGGUGCUGACCCUCUGUAUGAAGCGUGUUCACACGGUGCGGUGCUGACUCUCUGUAUGAAGCGUGUUCACCUGGUGCAGGACAGACUCUCUGCAUGAAGCAUGUUCACACAGUGCGGUGCUGACCCGACCCUCUGUAUGAAGCAUGUUCACACGGUGCAGUGCUGACUCUCUGUAUGACACAUGUUCACACAGUGAGGUGCUGACCCUCUGUAUGAAGCAUGUUCACACAAUGCGGUGCUGACCUUCUGUAUGAAGUGUGUUCACACAGUGAGGUGCUGAUCUUCUGUAUGAAGCAUGUUCACACGGUGCAGUACUGACUCUCUGUAUGAAGUGUGUUCACACGGUGCGGUGCUGACUCUCUGUAUGAAGCGUGUUCACACAGUGCGGUGCUGACUCUCUGUAUGAAGCAUGUUCACACGGUGCGGUGCUGACUCUCUGUAUGAAGUGUGUUCACCUGGUGCAGUACAGGCUCUCUGCAUGAAGCAUGUUCACACAGUGCGGUGCUGACCCUCUGUAUGAAGCGUGUUCACACAGUGCAUGUGAAACCAGAACCGACAGUCGAACCCAAGCAGAAGUCUUGACCAAGCACUUCCCUCCUGGGAAUGCACCAUGAUAUCACCACACCGAAGUCCAGGCUGGCAAAUAGGGACAUUUAAGUGACAUUUAAGCUCGUGGUGGCCCUAUGAGGAGUCAUUGCUGACUGAGAUGGGAUUUUAAGGUGUUGCCUGCCUGUGUGUUCUCAGACCCUCUCCUGAAGCCCC
rnacentral:lncRNA from 10 species